GAUGAACGCUGGCGGCGUGCCUAAUACAUGCAAGUCGAACGCUUCACUUCGGUGAAGAGUGGCGAACGGGUGAGUAAUACAUAAGUAACCUGGCAUCUACAGGGGAUAACUGAUGGAAACGUCAGCUAAGACCGCAUAGGUGUAGAGAUCGCAUGAACUCUAUAUGAAAAGUGCUACGGGACUGGUAGAUGAUGGACUUAUGGCGCAUUAGCUUGUUGGUAGGGUAACGGCCUACCAAGGCGACGAUGCGUAGCCGACCUGAGAGGGUGACCGGCCACACUGGGACUGAGACACGGCCCAGACUCCUACGGGAGGCAGCAGUAGGGAAUUUUCGGCAAUGGGGGAAACCCUGACCGAGCAACGCCGCGUGAAGGAAGAAGUAAUUCGUUAUGUAAACUUCUGUCAUAGAGGAAGAACGGUGGAUAUAGGGAAUGAUAUCCAAGUGACGGUACUCUAUAAGAAAGCCACGGCUAACUACGU
rnacentral:rRNA from 1 species